AGUGAUGCAAGUGUGAGGAGCAGCCCCGUUUCUUGGCAGUGGACAUUCAGCAGGUGAAGAGCCAACUUCUGUUAAUAAGAGAUUUUGGCUGAGCUUCAGGCAUCGAAAGUUAAAAAUCUGCAGAAGGGCAUGGAUUAAAUACAGAAGUAUGGAGAAUGGAGGAAAGGCUGAAUGCGAAGAGGCUGCUUCUUCUGUCCCUAACCUCAAAAAGGCGAGAGGUGUCUUACAAAAGCAGUGUUUUGUCCUCUUCUGUAUUUCGUGCCUCCCGUGUCCAUGCCAGGAUACCUGCUUUUAUAUGGCGGACAAUGGGAGUGCAGCUGGCACUGAGCUGAAGCCUGAGCUGUUCUGCACCUCAUGUGGAUUCGAGUUCAAAUAAACAGUUUGACUCGCUCAA